UACGUAGGGUGCAAGCGUUUGUCCGGAAUUAUUGGGCGUAAAGAGCUUGUAGGCGGUUUGUCGCGUCUGCUGUGAAAUUUCGGGGCUCAACCCCCGAACUUGCAGUGGGUACGGGCAGACUAGAGUGUGGUAGGGGAGACUGGAAUUCCUGGUGUAGCGGUGAAAUGCGCAGAUAUCAGGAUGGAACACCGGUGGCGAAGGCGGGUCUCUGGGCCGUAACUGACGCUGAGGAGCGAAAGCGUGGGGGAGCGAACAGG
rnacentral:rRNA from 1 species